rnacentral:rRNA from 1 species
GAAUAUUGGACAAUGGGGGCAACCCUGAUCCAGCCAUGCCGCGUGUGUGAAGAAGGCCUUUUGGUUGUAAAGCACGUUAAGCAGUGAAGAAGACUCCAUGGUUAAUACCCAUUGACGAUGACAUUAGCUGAAGAAUACGCACCCGCCAACUCUGUGCAAGAAGCCGCGGUAAUACAGUGGGUGCAAGCGUUAAUCGGAAUUACUGGGCGUAAAGCGAGCGUAGGUGGGUUGAUAAGUCAGAUGUGAAAUCCCCGGGCUUAACCUGGGAACUGCAUCUGAUACUGUUAGGCUAGAAUAGGUGAGAGGAAGGUAGAAUUCCAGGUGUAGCGGUGAAAUGCGUAGAGAUCUGGAGGAAUACCGAUGGCGAAGGCAGCCUUCUGGCAUCAUAUUGACACUGAGGUUCGAAAGCGUGGGUAGCAAAC